UCCUGGUGACUUAGAUGGUAAAGAAUCUGCCUGCAGUGCAGGAGACCUAGGUUCAAUUCCUGGGUCAGGAA
rnacentral:tRNA from 1 species